rnacentral:rRNA from 1 species
AACGAACGCUGGCGGCGUGCCUAACACAUGCAAGUCGUGCGAGAAAGUUCCUUCGGGAGCGAGUAAAGCGGCGCACGGGUGAGUAACACGUAGGUAACCUGCCCCCCAGUCUGGAACAACUAGAGGAAACUCUAGCUAAUGCCGGAUGAGACCACGAUCCCCUUCGGGGGUUGCGGCCAAAGAUGGCCUCUACUUGUAAGCUAUCGCUGAGGGAUGGGCCUGCGGGCCAUUAGCUUGUUGGUGAGGUAACGGCUCACCAAGGCUGUGAUGGCUAGCUGGUCUGAGAGGAUGACCAGCCACACUGGGACUGAGACACGGCCCAGACUCCUACGGGAGGCAGCAGUGGGAAUAUUGCGCAAAUGGGCGAAAGCCUGACGCAGCG